ACUCCCGUUCUUGGCAGGCCCUGGCCAUCCCGUGCCCGGGUCUGUGAUGUUCGGAGGUAGAGCAGCGACUCUGUCGACGGUAGAGCAGCGACUCUU
rnacentral:snoRNA from 1 species